rnacentral:lncRNA from 1 species
ACCACAGUUGUUUGUUUAUUAAAUAAGGUCGGACCUAGUAAUCUAAUGCUGCUUUCAGGCGAGCCUUGACAACGCCUUGCAAGGCCUACAUAAACAUUGCAGGUCCGCCAACAUUUAUAUUCGAAAUUUGUUACAUUUACAAACAGACAAACCGGUUAUUCCGCAUAAACGAACAGGCCCAAGGAUUUUAACCAUGGACAACAGGAAGUAAUUUAUCGGCUACCAAGGGCGUUACUGGGUGCAAGUAGUGUUGAGUGUAAUUUCAGUGUGCAUGCCUUGGGGACAGGUUAUUUUUACACCCAAUAACUAGGGUGUUGUGAAUAGCCCCAGAAGAUGGUACACAAACUGUACCAAAGAAUGACCACAAUGGAAAUCAGAAGGCAAUGGUUUUGAUAGGGCAAGUAAUAUGGGUGUCUCCCCUGGACAUUUCAACCACAUAAGCUAUAAUGCCUCUGAUUGCUUAAUGUACCCAGUGCGAGUCGAUGUACCCAGUGCGUGUCUGUGUACUCAAAAUAUCGCCAGUAUGAAUCAAAGUACCCAGUGCGAGUCUGUCCCUGUGCGAGUCAAUUUACCCAGUGCGAGUCAAGUACCCAGUGCGAGUCAAUGUACUCUGUGCGGGGAAAAUAUCACCAGAACUAUAAUGAAAGGGCUUAGUGCCAAGUUUUAACAUGAGCUUAAAAUGAAUUCCAAUUGACAGUAUUUUUAAUACACGGUUACUGAUCUGAUAGGAAUGUGUUUGAAUCCAGUAUAAAUUCUCAUGUUUUGAUAACAAGAUCAUUCUGAGGAACAACACAGCUACCCUGUUAUAACCUGAUCAAUAGUCGGGGGAAAAAACUUAUGGAUGAGGUACAGUAAAUGUAGUCUGAAUUUGUCUGGUUGUAACAGCAUUCCCAGAAAGAGGAUAUUCAGUUCAAAAAAAUAUAUUUUGUGACACUACAUAUAUUAAAGUUUUAUACACGAGAUAAUAUAAGUGUAACAUCCUACCUCACAAAGCUGAUCAUUGGUGCUGUAUAAUCAGUCAGGUUCCUAAAAGUGGCUGCAAUGUUCUACUCAUUACAAACAUACAGCUGACACUGCUCAAGAUGUGUUUGAUGUAGCUGUGUGAGGUAAAUGUUUUGAUCCCUGAAGUAAUUCGUAGUGUCACUUGCAUCGCUAGAGAAGAGUGUAAGAAGUGAAAGUGCAUCAAUAUUUUAUUUUAAAAAAUGUCCCCUACACGGUAUGUUGUAUAUUUGGCUGAAAAUUAGAAUUUUAUCAUGAGUUCAUCUGUCAAGCGUCUGUAUCGUUAAGAUUCCUUCGAAAGAAAUUAAAACAAGUCGGUUUAAAUAAAUGGUGGUAUUCUACAGGAAAAUGGUGUUACCAUUAUUGAUAGAAUGUGUCGGUUUAUUCUACCGUAACCGAGGGUUGUUGGUUCAAUCAUCAGUCUGAAAACUUCUUAUCUUCAAGUAUGCUGUUCAAGGAAUGUUGGAAUUCCGUAUCUCUCCAAAUUAUAGUACAUGGUGUGUGUAUUUUAGAAUGCUCAGCUAGAAGGUAUUACCGGCUUAUAUAUAGCCCUUUAAAUAAUUGAGGAAAUACAAUGUCGACGUGCUUUGAUGUUGCACCAAAAUAUAAUUGCACUAAUUAGAGUGUCUGUUUCAUGUUUUCUGUUGCAUAUUAUUAAAAGCUGAUAUAUAAAUACCUUCAUCUGUUAAAAUGUUAUUAUGCUUUAUUGAUUAAAAUUCCUUUAGAGCUAAAAUUAAGUAUGUUAACUAUUGGACUUUGUGAAAAAUUCUGAUAAAGAAAGCAUGUCAUUCACAGAUUAUGACUUAAUUUGAAUGAUCACCCCUACAUUUCCUAUUUAAAUCAAGGUAAUAUACACUUUGUAAAUGAUUCUAAAGGGAAGGCAUGUGUUCGUUAACAAAGGAUCACAGUGUCUGAUGAAACACUCGCUAAUUGUCAAAGGUGAUAAUUUGAUUGUGUUGGUGAAAUGUCGUUCGACACCUAGAUGCAAUUUCUUGGAUAAAGAUCGUAUUAUUAAGAAUACGAUCUCCUGUUCCAGUAAAAACUCUUGGACAAAUCUUGACGGUGAAUUUUCGUGAAUUUUCGUUGUUUAGAAUACCCUAUGUAUCCAGAUGGCAAGUCUCGUCUUGAACUGAAGUAGUUUUUUUGUACGUUUUGUCAACUUAAUGUGUUACGAUGACCUAAAUUACGAUUUUUGACUGUACUCUUUAGAAAUGAUAAGCCUUACUGGUGUUUUUUAGGUUAGACUUGGUCUGUUACUGUAAGCCUUACUGGUGUUUUGUAGGUUAGACUCGGUCUGUUACUGUGUUGUGGUGAGCUGUCAUUGUGAUAUCAAUUGUGCCUUGUUAGUUUUUAGUUUCCAAAAUCAAUACAGCUACUUGUGUCAGAAGCACAAACAAUUUCUGUUCAAUUCGUACAGUGCAUAACUCGAUAUGGACACUCCGGGGUCGGAUUAGUCGGUUUCGUUGUUAUUCCUGUUUUUCCUGUGGCAAGGGCAAACUUUAUUCUGGCCUACCAGUCGUGCUGGUUGCUGGUUUUGUGUUUGCAACUGGUAUGUUCAAGCGAGGCAGUACAAAUGCUGACGUCUUUUACCUGCGUAGAAGAGUUAUUAAAUGUAGAUGAAGAUUCAAUUCAUUAGUCACCAUCUUGUGUGCCACUCUGCCCGUCUCUCCAAUCUGGUAAAACUUCUUGCCAAACGGCAGGUGCUGUAAUUGUGCUCAUAUUUACAGGACACGAUCAAGCAGUGGUGCUGCCUUGCCACCGGCAACCCCGGCAAGCAACAAGAAUCAAAUUUUUCCCGAUAUGAACACCAUGCAUCUCUUCACAUUCUAACAUAUGCGUUUUUGCUGCAUAGAAGUUCAUUAAAUCAUGUUCAUAACAAUAGCAGGGGACCAAACAAAUCGUCGAGCUGCUCAGUGGAAUAUAUUCACUCUUCGCAAGUAAAAUCGAUAUUCACCAAGCACCAUUUUCACCCUUAAGUGGGAAUACAAGGAUAGCUGUAACAAGCUGCUUACCUGCAUUCUGUCCCUCAUAUGAAUUAGCUGUCGGUGUCGUCGUUAUAAUAUCUUCAUUACUUGGUGCAAAGUCAACCGCACAAAGAUUUCUAAGUAUAUAUCAUGUUGGUGAAAGACUUUGUUCAAGGUAAUACGGUAGGUAUCGUGUAUACUUUGAUUAAAUUUUUAGGUUAAGGAGCAACUGAGCUUUUAUUUUUGGAAUUGGUGGUUAACAGUUUGUGAACAUUGUGUGUUUGUGUUGGCACAUCAAUCAAUAUCCAUGUGCACGUGGCAGACAGUUGAGACGUUGCAUCAUCAAAAUUAGUGUAUCAUGUGACCCACUGUAGUUGUGAUGUCAUACAAAUCUGUGUAAUAUGUUUAUUUUGUGAGAUGGUAAAUGGUAUACAUUUAUAUGUUUUGAUAAUUCUUUUAAAAGUAUGGUGUAUGUUAUAAACCUGUUCAUGAUGAUGAACUCUAGUUUCUUGCAAUAUUUUAUACAUUGUGUAUAUUAUAAAUAUAGGGGAACAUGUAUUAACAUCAUUUAUCAUGGUAUCCCGAGAUUUCCUUUCACAUCCAAAGUCACGUUUUUUUUAUAAAAGAAAAAUUAAUGUUCAGUAAAAAACAACAAAUUGAUCAUUAUACUCAUUGUAUGGUAGUGUCGGCGUAGAGUAAAUGAACGCAAUACUACACAUUGUCAUGGCAACUGGCAAAAAAUGUCUCUAAGGAAAUGUUUAUAUAUAAGAAUUUGCUUGUGAUCAAGUUAUUGUUCCACCCAAACUAGAACAAUAUGAUGUUGUCAUUUUGGACAAAGCUGUGUACAUGUUGGUGAUGUAAUUGUUAUGAUCACAUAAUGAGUUGGAUGUAAUUGUUCCUGUGUGGUUUGUAUUUCAGUCCAAUUUGUAUGCUUGUUUCCUCAAUUCAACAAAAUAAAAACAUUUUAAAGACA